AUUGAACGCUGGCGGCAGGCCUAACACAUGCAAGUCGAGCGAGCGGGGACGGGUGAGUAACACGUGGGUAACCUCCCAUCAGAGGGGAUAACACUUGGAAACAGGUGCUAAACCGAUACUGAAGGAUGGACCCGCGGUGCAUUAGCUAGUUGGUGAGGGAACGGCUCACCAAGGCCACGAUGCAUAGCCGCCCUGAGAGGGUGAUCGGCCACACUGGGACUGAGACACGGCCCAGACUCCUACGGGAGGCAGCAGUGGGGAAUUUUGGACAAUGGGCGCAAGCCUGAUCCAGCCAUGCCGCGUGUCUGAAGAAGGCCUUCGGGUUGUAAAGGACUUGUGUCAGGGAAGCGGUACCUGAAGAAUAAGCACCGGCUAACUACGUGCCAGCAGCCGCGGUAAUAC
rnacentral:rRNA from 1 species